rnacentral:misc_RNA from 1 species
GAUGAAGAACGUAGCGAAAUGCGAUAAGUAAUGUGAAUUGCAGAAUUCCGUGAAUCAUCGAAUCUUUGAACGCACAUUGCGCCCCCUGGCAUUCCGGGGGGCAUGCCUGUCCGAGCGUCAUUUCUGCCCUCCAGCCCGGCUGGGUGUUGGGCGCUGUCCCCCCGGGGACACGCCCCAAAGGCAGUGGCGGCGCCGCGUCGGGUCCUCGAGCGUAUGGGGCUUUGUCUCCCGCUCGGGACGGACUCGUCGGCGCUGGUCUUCCUCCAGGCGACCCUUCGGGGCUCGUCUUCCUUCGGUUGACCUCGGAUCAGGUAGGGUUACCCGCUGAACUUAAGCAUAUCAAUAAGCGGAGGA